UACGUAGGGUCCGAGCGUUGUCCGGAUUUACUGGGCGUAAAGGGCGCGUAGGCGGCCACCGCAAGUCGACUGUGAAAUCUCCGGGCUUAACCCGGAACGGUCAGCCGAUACUGCGGGGCUAGAGUGCAGAAGGGGCAACUGGAAUUCUCGGUGUAGCGGUGAAAUGCGUAGAUAUCGAGAGGAACACCUGCGGCGAAGGCGGGUUGCUGGGCUGACACUGACGCUGAUGUGCGAAAGCUAGGGGAGCGAACGGG
rnacentral:rRNA from 1 species